GACUUAGUGGCGGACGGGUGAGUAACGCGUGGGUAACCCGCCCUGUACUGGGGGACAACAGUUGGAAACGACUGCUAAUACCGCAUAAGCGCACAGCAUCGCAUGAUGCAGUGUGAAAAACUCCGGUGGUACAGGAUGGACCCGCGUCUGAUUAGCUAGUUGGUGAGAUAACAGCCCACCAAGGCGACGAUCAGUAGCCGACCUGAGAGGGUGACCGGCCACAUUGGGACUGAGACACGGCCCAGACUCCUACGGGAGGCAGCAGUGGGGAAUAUUGCACAAUGGGGGAAACCCUGAUGCAGCGACGCCGCGUGAAGGAAGAAGUAUCUCGGUAUGUAAACUUCUAUCAGCAGGGAAGAUAGUGACGGUACCUGACUAAGAAGCCCCGGCUAACUACGUGCCAGCAGCCGCGGUAAUACGUAGGGGGCAAGCGUUAUCCGGAUUUACUGGGCGUAAAGGGAGCGUAGGCGGUCUGACAAGUCAGAAGUGAAAGCCCGGGGCUCAACUCCGGGACUGCUUUUGAAACUGCCGGACUAGAUUGCAGGAGAGGUAAGUGGAAUUCCUAGUGUAGCGGUGAAAUGCGUAGAUAUUAGGAGGAACACCAGUGGCGAAGGCGGCUUACUGGACUG
rnacentral:rRNA from 1 species